UACGGAGGAUGCAAGCGUUAUCCGGAAGGAUUGGGCGUAAAGCGUCCGCAGGUGGCUGUGUAAGUCUGCUGUCAAAGAGCGAAGCUCAACUUCGUAAAGGCAGUGGAAACUACACGGCUAGAGUGCGUUCGGGGCAGAGGGAAUUCCUGGUGUAGCGGUGAAAUGCGUAGAGAUCAGGAAGAACACCGGUGGCGAAGGCGCUCUGCUAGGCCGCAACUGACACUGAGGGACGAAAGCUAGGGGAGCGAAUGGG
rnacentral:rRNA from 1 species